UACGUAGGGUGCGAGCGUUGUCCGGAAUUAUUGGGCGUAAAGGGCUCGUAGGCGGUUUGUCGCGUCGGGAGUGAAAACCCAGGGCUUAACCCUGGGCUGGCUUUCGAUACGGGCAGACUAGAGGUAUGCAGGGGAGGACGGAAUUCCUGGUGUAGCGGUGAAAUGCGCAGAUAUCAGGAGGAACACCGGUGACGAAGGCGGUUCUCUGGGCAUUACCUGACGCUGAGGAGCGAAAGUGUGGGGAGCGAACAGG
rnacentral:rRNA from 1 species